GACGAACGCUGGCGGCGUGCUUAACACAUGCAAGUCGAACGGAAAGGCGCUGCGUUUGCGGGGUGCUCGAGUGGGGAACGGGUGAGUAACACGUGAGUAACCUGUACUUGUAUUUGGGAUAACUUCAGGAAAAUGGGGCGAAUAUCGGAUAGAAGAUCCUGCAGCGCGGGGGGGGAAGGACCAAUUCCGCGGUUGGGGAUGGCAUAGCUGCUUAUCAGCUGGAUGGUCUGGUAGUGGAUUACCAAGGUUGCGACGGAUAGCCGGCAUGGGAGGGGGACCGGCCACAAGGGUCCUGCGAUACGGCGCAGAAUCCUACGGGAGGCAGCAGUGGGGAACAUUGCACAACGGGGGGAAGCCUGAUGCAGCAACGCUGCGUGCGUGAUGACGGCCUUCGAGUGGUAAACAUCUGUCGCCGGUGACGAAGCGUUAGUGACGGUAAUGGAUAAGGAAGCAACGGCUAACUACGUG
rnacentral:rRNA from 1 species